GUCUCUGUGGCGCAAUCGGCCAGCAUGCUCGACUGUUAACCGAGAGGUUGGUGGUUCAAGCCGACCCAGUAACG
rnacentral:tRNA from 1 species